UGGGUGUCCCCGAGUGCGGGUAAGGGACAAGCUCUUUCUCGUCCGGAGUCACGCUGUCUUCCGACACUUAGGGAUAAGUUUCAGUCCCUGUGCGUCUUGUAGCGACACCUGCGGGCCCGCCCUCAUCUGAGAGUCCAGUGACCCUGAGCGACGGCUCAGGCGCGGCGCUCCGGAAGUGCUUGGGCUCGUCACGUGUGCCUCCAGGAAGUGGCUUCCCCUCUUGCCCCACCUUCGGAGCGGUGCUGCGCUCACUAAAAGGCGGGGACCGGUGUGGGUUCGAUUCCGCUCAGCUCCUCCAGCGCUGCUAGGCACCUUUGCACCUAAGCAUUAGUGCAAAGUCCGGACGAACGCUUUGCGCCGCGUUCGCGUCCUUAGUCCGCUGGCGCCGUGUGACCUUGGGCAGGUUGCAUAAUCUUACCUUCCCAGGUGGCUCAAAUGCAAAAUGGGAUGGUAAAACCCAAAUUGGCGCCAAGCCGUAAGGCUCGUGCCACAGAGCAGGCUGUCAACAAACACCAUCUGUUUCCGCUCAUGGCACUGUUGACUCUGGAUAGAAUUGAGAAGUAGCUUUAAAUGGUGGCUAGGAUGUUCGCUGACAUCGCCACCCAGAUUCAGAGGACUGUGACAACUGUUUGCCUUAACAGCGUCUUCCCUGCCUCAUCAGAACCAAGCCUAGAGGAGCCUCCGAUUUCUUGAUGGAAGGUUCUCCGGGCUCCGUUGUUGAAGGAUAGAUGUGCUCUGCUCUCACUGAAGGAAGCCCAGUGCAAGAGUGUCUCUGCCUUAAGAGGAGGGAGCUUCCCAAAUGGCCUUUACCCCGGGCUGCUGCUUUGUUCCCUGUUUGGGCGGCCAGCGGCCUGGGCUCUGGCACACAACACUUGUCAGAAGCGAGAACCCAGGAUGCAGUGAUUAAGGAAGAUACUUUGUGUCUACUUCUCAUAAGCAGCCUAUUGAAACAGCUGAUGCUGUAGACACCUUAAUGCCUGAGCAUAGCGCAACUACAUUACUCUGCAUUCUUCACUACUGUUGAAUUUAGCGAGGGGAAGGCCAAAUGCACAUGAGCUUGUACACUGCCCUCUAACUGCGUUCGAGUGUGGUGUGGUCUUCCCACGUGAGCAGCGUCCAGGACGCUUACUAGGAAGAAUCCCAGGCCUCAGAUAUCCUGAAGCUGACUGCUGUGUGCACUAAAAUCUGUGAAGUCCUCCACUAACUUGUGGGGUAAUCUGGUGAUUAGAACUAUGUGGUGACAUGAAAAGUUUAAGGAGAGACAAGCGGCACAGAGCCAGAAUCCGGGAAGGGGGUGGCAAAGCAGUGCUUUUCUGCGUUUGGGCACCACCAGCAGGUUGAUGCGGAAGACAGAUGAAAAAUUCGUCACUGGGCAGCUUGGAUGAACGCGACUACGGUACCCACUUCUUAAAGCACAGAUGAGAUCACCUGUUUGACUGCAAAUGCUCGUGAGUGAGAGCCCACCAAAUGGGCGUGUCAGCAAUAUGAGACUCCUUUGAACGAGACAGGCCAGGCUGCUGGGGCCCAGUGAAACGUGCCUUGCGUAUUCAGGGUGUUCUGGCACCCAGAGGGUGCUCCUUCCCCAUUCUUCCAAAGUCUGACAUUCCAGGCCUCUCCUGUCUGUACCCAACAAUGACAUUUGGUGUCAUCAUCCAGUUGAAGAGCCUGGCAUGCAAACAACCUGGCCGAUUCAUUCCUAGAGCCCACGUUACCCACGCAAGACCACGGCCAAGACUGAUGUCUCCAUCCCGGGCAUGCUCAUUCAAACGCGCUCUGGUUUGCUCUGACUUCAGGCCGGGGAUGGCUGAGUGACGCAAGAAUAAUCGACCAGUCAAAAGACCUCUGUCUCACUCCAAUGGAAAGAUACUCCGUGAUGAUUCCAGGUUCUCCACAAGAGUCCCCCGUUAACAGGUCCCGAGCAUGCAGAUAAGUGAUAUACUUUUAAAUAUACAGCUAAGAAAGCAACCCUCAGCUUGUGGGCCCAGGCCCUUCGAGGUCUGUAAAUCUCUCCUUCCUAGAGACCCCCACAGCAAGACCUCACCCCGGAGAUUUCAAAGGCUGGCUCCCACCAAGUCUGCAAGUGACUUUUCUGUAGGCAGCAGUUGGAACAGCUCACAGCACCUAGUAAAACUUGUGCAUAUAUUUUCCUAAAAUAUCUAAAGCAAAAUUCUAAUGUUUCCCUCCACUACUAGACGUGGUGGUGUCUGUGUUAAAAUAGAGCAGCAGACAGACCCAUUUGCUGACUGUCUGAACAGGAGCUCUUGGUGAAUAAAGCUUAGCCUAAAAAAGAUAUUGUCCCAAUAUGUGUCUUUAUAAACGUGUCUGCCUGUCUGUCUGUCUGUCUGUGUGCACAAAUAUUCACUCCUAGAGAAGCAUACAUUUAGGGAAAAUGAUUUGCACCUGACUUGAGUACUAGCCAACUACAGAAAGGCUAUCACCUCAUCUAUGUAGGUCCCAUCUCACCACAAAAUGUGCUCAGGUUUCCAGCGACAUUUCUUGUUUUGAAAAUUCUCCACAUGGCCUUUGAAUUGUGAGUGGUCUCUCUUGGGACAGACAGAUGAAAAUAAGGUUUAUUAAAGAAAGGGACAACAUUCUUACAUAACACGUUGUCAAACAGAGUGAAGGAAAAUCAUUUGUGACUAUUUCUGUGUGUGCAAAAUUUGUCACCCAUGAUUUUUUUUCUACUUCAUAUCUGGAUAUCAGCGUCAACCCAACAUUCUCUAUUUUUUUCCCCUCCAGGUUUCUCCAGGGGAAAAAAUGCCCUUCCAGUAAAGGGGCUGUCAGAACGUCCUUGUUCUGGAAAGCCAUCCGUCAGGCUUUCUUUCAAACUUGUAGGAAGUGGCAGCAGAUUGAUGCCCUCUGAUCUGCUGCGUGUCAGGAGGAAAUGUGGUGGGAAAAGGUGGUAACGUGGAAUGCAGGAAGGAAGUGGAGGCCAUGGCCUCUGAGGAGCCGCUGGGGGCCCCAUAAGACAGGUCGGUCACACCUGGUAUCGAUUCUCAUCUUCCACCGCUCUUUCCCAUGAACAGGCUCUUCCACCAGCGUGGUCAGCUCCCUGGAGCCAGCUUUCUGGCCUCCAAGGCUGUUAGCAUCGCAUCCCAUGUACGCAGCAUGACUCCCACACCCCUACACCAAGCCCAAGCCCAGGGACUCCUCACCACACAGGGUUUCAUGGUUGGCGGGCCAUGGGCCCCUUCUUCAAUGAAAUUAAGAAAACACGAAACUUCCUACAUUGAUAUUCAGUUCACAACCAAUAUGUCAACACAUGGCCAGGCUGCUGGGCCACGAUACCAUGGGCUGGUGGCUUACAUACAACAGAAUCCAUUCCCUACAGCCCUGGAGGCUGGAAGUCCAAGAUCAGGGCGUCCACAGGCUCGUGUCUAAGGAGAUCCCCCCGUCCUGGUUCACAGACGGCAUCUUCUCACUGAUUUGGAGGAAGUGGAUAUUUGGUAAGCAUCUACUGUGUGCCACCGAUCCGGUUAAGUGCUGGGCAAGAAGUAGUGGCCAAAACAAGAAUCAAAAGAGUUCCUGGGUCCUGCCUCAUGGAAGGCGUGCUGGUGAGUGAGGGCUGUCUCCUUGGGAUUCAGAGUUGCACUUCUCUAGUGAACAGUGAUGACCACCCUGAGAACGUGUGAGAGCAUCACAGGUGGCGGCCACCUCCAAGCCAAAGAAAGAGGCGUCAGAGGGAGACCUACACGCCUGGUACCCCGGUCCUGGACUUCCCACCUGCAGCUGAUUUCCUCACGUCCUGAACUAUUUCAUUUCUGACUGUGUUCAUUUGAGAUCCAAGAGGAAAACAAUGGGAUGUAGAUGGCGUCUCAGUGCAAAUGGGAGAAAGGGUGAGUGAAGAAAGGAUCCAUUUAGAAAAAUAAUCUGUGAUGGAAGUAAUAAAAUCAUUCAGGUAUGCUGCAUUCCAAAAGGCUGGCCUUCUCCCUCGUCGAUACACAUGUGCUUCCUUCUGCACGUCCACACGAUUCCAGGCUUAGUUUCCCUUUUUCCUUUGAAUUGUAUCAUUUUAAGACCAACUGAAGUGACACCCCUUCCUCAUACUCUGUGCAAUAGAGACCUCAUUUUCUUACCUUUUAAAUUGCAGCAGACAAUAGUAAAUGAGGCUUGUACGUGUCCUGGAUCAUAAGCAUGCUCCUUGUGUAUAAUAUAUUCUGUAUCUUCUGCUAGUUCUUAAAUUAAGAGCUCUGCUUACAUCCCUUCCGUAGAAUCCCCAUCAAACUGGGUGCCAAGCGUCGUACACGGUUUCAGAUCAGCGUUUGGCUGCAGAUUUUUCAUUUGUCGAUUUAAUUUAGGAUACUUUGGUUCCUGGUUGUUAUUAUGUAUCCCUUCCACAUUUUGUAUUAAACUGUUCUGAGGCAUUCACAUUGCAGAUUGGACCCAGAAGUAACACAAGAUCCAUCCCCAUUCUCUUAAAUAUUAAAUCCCUGGCUCAUGUCACAUAAAUUCUUCCUAGGCUCCCAGGGGCAUUAAUGUGGAUGCUGGGUCUGGUUCUGUGAAAUUCUCCUGUUUUUUUCUGCCCUUCACCCGCCUCAUUCUGGCAUACAAGCUUAGGCUGAGCAGGACCCUGCCACUCCAAGCAUGCACCUUUAGCCUCCAUAGCAAUCGUAGGAAGAUUUUGAUACCUGAUCUGGCCUAGGCUUCUUCUUAUUUACACUGAAUUGCGCAAAGAACUGGGAGAGCGGUAUUGACCUGCAUUGUGUCCGAGAGGAAAAGGCUUCAGAGUUCCUGUUCUUCAUUUCUGCUUUCGUGCGGCCUCACUUUGUAUGGAAGAUGGACUAACUGGAGAGAACAAAGCUGUCACAAAGCAAGACCCACCGCUAAAGUCAAUUCAUCACGAAAUGUAUUAGAGUGAACUAAAAAGCAACUUACUGGCUUACCCAGAAAGGCUAACCCCCCCACAGCACCGUGACCUGCCUUACCUGGUCCCGUAGCUGCACCAUGCCGUCUGGAACAGUCUGUCAUUGUGUUUCGUGACCCCACAGUGCUGAAGGUCACAGGACCUGGAAGGUGAGGAACUCAGACAGCCCAGUGAGGUUCUGGAAAUGCUGCACGCUGACUGCUAACGGAACAUAAACAAAGCAUUUGCAGUAUGGCAUUUUUAUGAGGUGCUGUGCCUUAUCUCAGUGUCCAUCUCCUGAAGGUCGAACUGAAGAAACAUUUAAUGAAGCUUUAAAUGUUACGCAGAGCUGGCACUUAUUGUCAGGACAGCCACUCAUUAGGAGACACAGGUUCAAAAGACCAAGCCACCCGCUCAAGAUGACACCACAAAUCGGUAAUCAAUUUCAGACUUGAAAUGAAUCCUGCCGAAAAUCACCAUCGGAGACAUUUCAACCACCACCAUGGAUCACGUGUAUUCAUCCCAGGAAGUGACCCAUGCUUACCCUACAAUUCAGCCAGCAAGUGUACAGACACCAGACCGAGUCACACCACCUGUCGUGGGCUACGCCAAAGUUGUAAUACUCAUUUCCUUCCCUCAAAACCGAGGGGGCUCCAGGACUGAUUUGAAUCCCCCCAACUUGGAUUUCUGUUACUGUCGUUAAGAAGAUCCUGGACUGAGAUAACAAGCACUUCUGUGACGCCUAAGGAAGACUCCACAUGGCGCUAGUUAUCACUGUGACUGGAGCUCAAUUCCGCGAGGAUCCCUGGGAGCAGCCUCAGAGUUCGGAGUCCCAAACGCACAGGGAGGUGGAGCUGCUGGUCGUCGGCUCCCAUCAGGUGUUGCCUGAGUCCCACGUGGG